rnacentral:rRNA from 1 species
UACGUAGGGGGCAAGCGUUGUUCGGAUUUAUUGGGCGUAAAGAGCUCGUAGGCGGUCUGUCGCGUCGGCUGUGAAAACUCGGGGCUCAACUCCGAGCUUGCAGUCGAUACGGGCAGGCUAGAGUUCGGCAGGGGAGACUGGAAUUCCUGGUGUAGCGGUGAAAUGCGCAGAUAUCAGGAGGAACACCGGUGGCGAAGGCGGGUCUCUGGGCCGAUACUGACGCUGAGGAGCGAAAGCGUGGGGAGCGAACAGG